UACUGCGAAACUGCGAAUGGCUCAUUAAAUCAGUUAUCGUUUAUUUGAUAGUACCUACUACUUGGAUAACCGUGGUAAUUCUAGAGCUAAUACAUGCAAAAAACCUCGACUUCGGAAGGGGUGUAUUUAUUAGAUAAAAAACCAAUGCCCUCUGGGCUUUAUGGUGAAUCAUGAUAACUUAACGAAUCGCAUAGCCUUGAGCUGGCGAUGGUUCAUUCAAAUUUCUGCCCUAUCAACUUUCGAUUGGUGAGUAGUGUUCACCAAUGGUAUCGACGGGUAACGAAGAAUUAGGGUUCGAUCUCGGAGAGGACGCCCGAGAAAUGGCGUGCACAUCCAAGGAAGGCAGCAGGCGCGCAAAUUACCCAAUCCCGAUUCGGGGAGGUAGUGACAAUAAAUACUGAUGCAGGGCUCUUUUGGGUCUUGCAAUUGGAAUGAGUACAAUUUAAAUCCCUUAACGAGGAACAAUUGGAGGGCAAGUCUGGUGCCAGCAGCCGCGGUAAUUCCAGCUCCAAUAGCGUAUAUUAAAGUUGUUGCAGUUAAAAAGCUCGUAGUUGAAAUUUGGGCCUGGCUGACCGGUCCGCCUCACCGCGUGUACUGGCUCGGCCGGGCCUUUCCUUCUGGGGAAGCUCAUGGUCUUUAUUGACUGUGUGGGGAACCAGGACUUUUACUUUGAAAAAAUUAGAGUGUUCAAAGCAGGCCUUUGCUCGAAUACAUUAGCAUGGAAUAAUGGAAUAGGACGGCUUUCCUAUUUUGUUGGUUUCUAGGAGAGCCGUAAUGAUUAAUAGGGACAGUCGGGGGCAUCAGUAUUCAAUUGUCAGAGGUGAAAUUCUUGGAUUUAUUGAAGACUAACUACUGCGAAAGCAUUUGCCAAGGAUGUUUUCAUUAAUCAGUGAACGAAAGUUAGGGGAUCGAAGACGAUCAGAUACCGUCGUAGUCUUAACCAUAAACUAUGCCGACUAGGGAUCGGUGGAUGUUACUAUUUUGACUCCAUCGGCACCUUACGAGAAAUCAAA
rnacentral:rRNA from 1 species